GCCAGAAGCCAUAUCACCCUGCAUCCCUCCACUGGCAGCUCACUGAAGCUCAGCAGGUGUGAGCCUAGUCAGUACCUGGAUAAGAGAUGUCCUGGGAAAACUAAGGUUGCUGCUGGAA
rnacentral:rRNA from 1 species